rnacentral:rRNA from 1 species
UUGAACGCUGGCGGCAUGCCUUACACAUGCAAGUCGAACGGCAGCACGGGUGCUUGCACCUGGUGGCGAGUGGCGAACGGGUGAGUAAUACAUCGGAACAUGUCCUGUAGUGGGGGAUAGCCCGGCGAAAGCCGGAUUAAUACCGCAUACGAUCUACGGAUGAAAGCGGGGGACCUUCGGGCCUCGCGCUAUAGGGUUGACCGAUGGCUGAUUAGCUAGUUGGUGGGGUAAAGGCCUACCAAGGCGACGAUCAGUAGCUGGUCUGAGAGGACGACCAGCCACACUGGGACUGAGACACGGCCCAGACUCCUACGGGAGGCAGCAGUGGGGAAUUUUGGACAAUGGGCGAAAGCCUGAUCCAGCAAUGCCGCGUGUGUGAAGAAGGCCUUCGGGUUGUAAAGCACUUUUGUCCGGAAAGAAAUCCUUGGCCCUAAUACGGUCGGGGGAUGACGGUACCGGAAGAAUAAGCACCGGCUAACUACGUG